UGGAAACGAUCGCUAAUACACGAUAUUGAUGGGGGGACGCAAGUCAUUCCCAUUGAAAGUUUUUCGGUUCGAGAGGGGCCUAUGGUCCAUCAGCUCGUUGGCGGGGUAAAGGCCCACCAAGGCUAUGACGGAUACCAGGCGCGAGAGCGUGACCUGGCUCAUUGGGACUGAGACACUGCCCAAACACCUACGGGUGGCUGCGGUCGAGAAUAUUCCACAAUGCACGAAAGUGUGAUGGAGCGACGCCGCGUGUUGAAAGAAGGCCUUCGGGUCGUAAACAACUUUU
rnacentral:rRNA from 1 species